CAAUAGCGUAUAUUUAAGUUGUUGCAGUUAAAAAGCUCGUAGUUGGAUUUCGGCUAAGAGCGACCGGUCCGCCGUUUGGUGUGCACUGGUUGGUUUUAACUUCCUGUAGAGGACGUGCUCUGGGUUUAACGACCUGGACUCGGAGUCUACGUGGUUACUUUGAAAAAAUUAGAGUGUUCAAAGCGGGCUUACGCUUGAAUAUUUCAGCAUGGAAUAACACUAUAGGACUCCUGUCCUAUUUCGUUGGUCUCGGGACGGGAGUAAUGAUUAAGAGGAACAGUUGGGGGCAUUCGUAUUUCAUUGUCAGAGGUGAAAUUCUUGGAUUUAUGAAAGACGAACUUCUGCGAAAGCAUUUGCCAAGGAUGUUUUCAUUAA
rnacentral:rRNA from 1 species